CACGUAGGGGGCAAGCGUUGUCCGGAUUUAUUGGGCGUAAAGAGCUCGUAGGCGGCUUAGUAAGUCGGGUGUGAAACCUCCAGGCUCAACCUGGAGACGCCACCCGAUACUGCUGUGGCUAGAGUCCGGUAGGGGAGCGUGGAAUUCCUGGUGUAGCGGUGAAAUGCGCAGAUAUCAGGAGGAACACCAGCGGCGAAGGCGGCGCUCUGGGCCGGUACUGACGCUGAGGAGCGAAAGCGUGGGGAGCAAACGGG
rnacentral:rRNA from 1 species